AAGUCUUUAAAGACAAUUUGCAGCUGCUAAUAACAUUGUAGCUGAGUGUUAACUUGAUGUCCCUGUUCACAAAGAUACAUCUCGUCCAUCAUGGAAGUUUCUCAUCAUCUUCCUCUACUAUGUUCAUAUUAUAUUUUAGCACAUGAAAGAGAGUGGAUACUAUAUUUACUGCAUUGCUGAAGCAUUUACAAAAAAGUGAAAUGGCAUCUGGGUUUGAAAUUCUUGCAAGCUACUGCUGUCUAUACAGUUGUGCACAAAUAUCUUCUUUUACUGGUAUACAUAUUUCAGUCUUUGCUAGAGGAGUAGAAGAGAGACGUCCCUUACUUGUUUCAAGAGCCCUUGGAUGGUAACUGCGUUAUCUUGUCUGCAGGAACGGUUGUCAUCUGGAGGGAAGGUUGAAGUAGUUAAAGCAUUACUCACAAUGUGGUGUACUUGUACUCCUGUGUGCUCAUGUCCCAGUUUUUUAAGGCUGAUAUUUCUGUUAUUUCUGCUGUCACCGUUUCCAAACAGAAGACCCCUGCACAGCGGCCUUUGCUUUCAUUCGUGUUUGUGUGAAACUUCUUGUUAAACCACUGCAGAUCCGAAGGUUUGCUGAAGGUGGGAACUCGCUUCAAAGGAAACGCGCGUGAGCCACAAGCAUGAUGGGUACUUCCAAAACAGGCAACCUGCCAUUGUCCCCUGGUUUUAUUUAUUUAUUUAUUUUUAUUUUUUUUUUUUUUUUUGUCUUGCCAAGAGCCAGCCCACCACAAGUGAAGUCCCAUGUAAGUUCAAACCACUGACAUGAAUGAGUAAUAAAAUGUCGAUGCAAACUGGAAACUUUUGAGCCGGGCUUGUAUUUUCCGGGCUACCUUGCUAAAGUGUAUUUUUAAUAGGCUUGUUUAGGUAAUGUUUAACAUUUUCUGAUAUUCAUGUGGAGAAACCGUUCAUCAUAAAUGAGCACGCAUGCAAAAAGAGUGUGAAGUAGUUCAGAGCUCUGUGGCUUUGAGUGUUAUGAAAACAGAUUGGACUGGACUCAAUUAAAUGUUCUCAGUCGUCAGAGUGUGUGGCACAUUGGUGCGUUGAGCUGUGAAUCAUUUUUAGUAGCUGGUGGUGACUUCUGGAGUGUGAAAUGACCGCAAAGCCUCCGGUCUCCGAAGGACAGAGAAAAUCACUGUGUUUAAACGCGUCAAUUGGACGCUCGUCAUUUGGGCUAGGGGAUGAGGGUGCGGCGCUCGUUCCAGAAUCAGGUUGUGAGCUGAGCUUUUGUGUGCAUCUUGCCUGCCUCAGCUAAAUGGAGCCUUGAGCACUUGAGUUUUAUUAAAAUGCUGUCCGCUGUGGCUGUGUGUAUUAAUACUGGGGUUGGGGGGGGCACAGUAAUAGUGAGGUGUCUGUCCAGGUCUCAGACGGGUUGUUAAGGACAACAUACCGGAUGAUGCCUCAUGACGCCUCCGGUUCUGGUCAGCAGCAAUGCAGCGCUCCCAUUGCGUCUGAUCUCCCAGAUGCGAGUGAUAAGAGCACAGAUGGCUUGAUAACUUUCGCAGUGUUUUCCUCAGUGACUCUUCAUAAAAAGUGAGAAAUCGCCGCAAUUGUAGAGCUGCAUAUUUUUCUGAAGAACUUCAGCUGAUGGAUAGCGUGGCGAAUCCAACCAAGAAACAAUCCACACUGGAGAAUACCAUCCUUUGUCUCUCUCUCCUAUGAUGAGGAAUUUUCUGCUAUGUGAACCAUUUCAUUGUAAACAUGCCCAUAUAAUGCAUUGUUUGGUAAAUAAAAGACAACAAUAGCUGCUUUGUCCUUCUCAUAUGAAGAUGUAAAUCCUCCUAAAUCAAAUAUGAUUAUUUAAGGAAAAAUAUAAUCCAUAUAAAAGUUGCAGUGUUAUGCAAUUUCUGCUAGACACAAUCCUUUUUCUAGAGAUC